UGCAAGUCGACGCCCCGCAAGGGGAGUGGCAGACGGGUGAGUAACGCGUGGGAACAUACCCUUUCCUGCGGAAUAGCUCCGGGAAACUGGAAUUAAUACCGCAUACGCCCUACGGGGGAAAGAUUUAUCGGGGAAGGAUUGGCCCGCGUUGGAUUAGCUAGUUGGUGGGGUAAAGGCCUACCAAGGCGACGAUCCAUAGCUGGUCUGAGAGGAUGAUCAGCCACAUUGGGACUGAGACACGGCCCAAACUCCUACGGGAGGCAGCAGUGGGGAAUAUUGGACAAUGGGCGCAAGCCUGAUCCAGCCAUGCCGCGUGAGUGAUGAAGGCCUUAGGGUUGUAAAGCUCUUUCACCGAUGAAGAUAAUGACGGUAGUCGGAGAAGAAGCCCCGGCUAACUUCGUGCCAGCAGCCGCGGUAAUACGAAGGGGGCUAGCGUUGUUCGGAAUUACUGGGCGUAAAGCGCACGUAGGGAUAU
rnacentral:rRNA from 1 species